UACGUAGGGUGCGAGCGUUAAUCGGAAUUACUGGGCGUAAAGCGUGCGCAGGCGGUUCGUUGUGUCGGCGGUGAAAGCCCCGGGCUUAACCUGGGAAUGGCCGUUGAAACUGGCGAACUGGAGUGUGGCAGAGGGGGGUGGAAUUCCGCGUGUAGCAGUGAAAUGCGUAGAGAUGUGGAGGAAUACCGAUGGCGAAGGCAGCCCCCUGGGUCGAUACUGACGCUCAUGCACGAAAGCGUGGGGAGCAAACAGG
rnacentral:rRNA from 1 species